UGCGUAGGUGGUUCCUUAAGUCAGAGGUGAAAGGCUACGGCUCAACCGUAGUAAGCCUUUGAAACUGGGAAACUUGAGUGCAGGAGAGGAGAGUGGAAUUCCUAGUGUAGCGGUGAGAUGCGUAGAUAUUAGGAGGAACACCAGUUGCGAAGGCGGCUCUCUGGACUGUAACUGACACUGAGGCACGAAAGCGUGGGGAGCAAACA
rnacentral:rRNA from 1 species